AUCAGUGGUUGAAAUUUCAAGCCUAGAUCUAGCACCGAGGUAUCCACCACCCAAGGCCCAAGGUAAGGUCUCCAAAAUGAAGCAGCUCUACUCGAAGAAAAUGAUCUCCAGCUUUGUGCUGCUGCUUCUCUUCUCCUCCCUCAUCAUCUCCCCAACUCAGUCCAGAGAAUUCCCUACCGCAGACGGCACGGGUGGUUCGGAGGGAGCGGUGACGUUGGGUCGUCGGUCGGAGUUCAGCCCGCCUUCACCCGCGGCUAACGGAAGCCCUCCCGGCGGGCCUUCCCGUUGAAGCAUUACAUGUACGGACGACUGUAUUUACACUAGAGAUUAAGUUAUUAUUAUCCUUCCGUUUGUAAUUAUGGGAUUGGUUGUCGUGUUUUCAGCUUUUUUUUUUUUUUUUUUUCUAAUAUUAUUUUCACCUUACUUUGGGCAUGUUUGAUUCAGAAUAAGAAUUAGUAUUAGAGUGGAAAUCGACAUGAACUGAAUUCGAAGACGGAAUAGUAAAAUUUUUUAUUA